GACGAACGCUGGCGGCGUGCUUAACACAUGCAAGUCGAACGGAAGGCCCUGCCUUUGUGGGGUGCUCGAGUUGCGAACGGGUGAGUAACACGUGAGUAACCUUCCCUUGACUUUGGGAUAACUUCAGGAAACUUGGGCUAAUACCGGAUAGGAGCUCCUGCCGCCUGGUGGGGGUUGGAAAGUUUCGGCGGUUGGGGAUGGACUCGCGGCUUAUCAGCUUGUUGGUGGGGUAGUGGCUUACCAAGGCUUUGACGGGUAGCCGGCCUGAGAGGGUGACCGGCCACAUUGGGACUGAGAUACGGCCCAGACUCCUACGGGAGGCAGCAGUGGGGAAUAUUGCACAAUGGGCGGAAGCCUGAUGCAGCAACGCCGCGUGCGGGAUGACGGCCUUCGGGUUGUAAACCGCUUUCGCCUGUGACGAAGCGUGAGUGACGGUAAUGGGUAAAGAAGCACCGGCUAACUACGUG
rnacentral:rRNA from 1 species